UGAGGAAUAUUGGUCAAUGGUCGCAAGACUGAACCAGCCAUGCCGCGUGCAGGAUGAUGGUCCUAUGGAUUGUAAACUGCUUUUGUACGGGAAGAAACACUCCUACGUGUAGGGGCUUGACGGUACCGUAAGAAUAAGGAUCGGCUAACUCCGUGCCAG
rnacentral:rRNA from 1 species